rnacentral:rRNA from 1 species
GACUACGGCCAUAUCACGAUGAAUGCACCUCAUCCCUCCGAUUUGAGAAGUUAAGCAUCGUCGAGCCACAUCAGUACUGAGGUUGGAGACAACUUGGGAACCUGUGGUGCUGUAGUCU